CAAUAGCGUAUAUUAAAGUUGUUGCGGUUAAAAAGCUCGUAGUUGGAUUUCUGUCUAGGGUGGCCGGUACCCACUAUGUGAAGUAUCUGGUUCAGUCUGGGCAUCCUCUUGGGGAUCGUUCCUGUGCUUGAUUGCAUGGGACGGAAUUCAAGACUUUUACUUUGAGGAAAUUAGAGUGUUCACGGCAAGCUUUCGCUUUGAAUACAUUAGCAUGGAAUAAUAGAAUAGGACUACGGUCUCGUUGUUGGUUUGAGGGACUGGAGUAAUGAUUAAUAGGGAUAGUUGGGGGCAUUAGUAUUUAAUUGUCAGAGGUGAAAUUCUCAGAUUAACUAAAGACUAACUUAUGCGAAAGCAUUUGCCAAGGAUGUUUUCAUUAAUCAAGAACGAAAGUUAGGGGAUCAAAGACGAUCAGAUACCAU
rnacentral:rRNA from 1 species